GAUGAACGCUGGCGGCGUGCCUAAUACAUGCAAGUCGAACGGGAGUACUUACUUCGGUUUUUACUCCUAGUGGCGAACGGGUGAGUAACGCGUUGGUGACCUGCCCCGAAGAGGGGGAUAACUCCGCGAAAGCGGAGCUAAUACCCCAUGUGGUCCCGGAGAUUAGAAACUCUGGGACUAAAGGAGCAAUCCACUUCGGGAGGGGCCUGCGUCCCAUCAGCUAGUUGGUAAGGUAACGGCCUACCAAGGCGACGACGGGUAGGGGGCCUGAGAGGGUGGCCCCCCACACUGGCACUGAAACACGGGCCAGACACCUACGGGUGGCAGCAGUAGGGAAUAUUGCACAAUGGGCGAAAGCCUGAUGCAGCAACGCCGCGUGCGCGAAGAAGGCCUUCGGGUUGUAAAGCGCUUUUCUGGAGGAAGAGGAAGGACGGUACUCCAGGAAUAAGGAUCGGCUAACUACGUG
rnacentral:rRNA from 1 species